rnacentral:rRNA from 1 species
GAUAAACGCUGGCGGCGCACAUAAGACAUGCAAGUCGAACGGACUUAACCAUUAGUUUACUAUUGGAGCGGUUAGUGGCGGACUGGUGAGUAACACGUAAGCAACCUGCCUAUCAGAGGGGAACAACAGUUAGAAAUGACUGCUAAUACCGCAUAUGCCUUAAGCAUCACAUGGUGCUAGAGGGAAAGGAGCAAUCCGCUGAUAGAUGGGCUUGCGUCUGAUUAGCUAGUUGGUGGGGUAAUGGCCUACCAAGGCGACGAUCAGUAGCCGGACUGAGAGGUUGAACGGCCACAUUGGGACUGAGAUACGGCCCAGACUCCUACGGGAGGCAGCAGUCGGGAAUAUUGCGCAAUGGAGGAAACUCUGACGCAGUGACGCCGCGUGCA